UGGAUUAGGCAUGCAAGUCGUGGGCGGUUACGUGGCGUAGCAAUACGUCGCGUGACUGACCGGCGUAAGGGGUAGUAAUACAUGGGUAACCAACCCUCCAGAUGGGGAUAACCCGUCGAAAGACGGACUAAUACCCAGCGACGUUGCGAGGGGGCAUCUCUUUGCAACCAAAGGUGUGAUUCCGCUGGAGGACGGGCUCAUGUCGUAUUAGCUAGUUGGUAGGGUAGCGGCCUACCAAGGCGAAGAUGCGUAGGGGACGUUAGCGCGUGAUCCCCACCACUGGGAAUGAGACACUGCCCAGACACCUACGGGUGGCUGCAGUCGAGAAUCUUCGGCAAUGGGCGCAAGCCUGACCCCGCGACGCCGCGUGCGGGAUGAAGGCCUUCGGGUUGUAUUCCUC
rnacentral:rRNA from 1 species